rnacentral:piRNA from 1 species
UCUUUGGACUGGAUGCUGACAGGUGAAGGC